GCGACGAGGAGGAGCGGCGGGUGUCGGAGAAGUGGAGCCACGCGGCGGAGGAGCUCUGAGGCGGGCAUGCUACUCGAGUGCGUCUGUCUUGGAAGAUCUGGGGAAAAGAUUUUGUGGGUUCACCAGUCAGUCUCGGUUAGUCCACUGCUCAGAUUGAAAAGAGAUGCUGUGGGAAGACUUAAAAGGAUCCGGUGGUAUGGGUUUGGGGUCGGCAGGGUCGGAACAGGGAACCAGCAGAGAGGGGUCGGAUCUCAGGGGUCGGGACCGGGGGUCGCGACCAGAACUGAGGGUGAGCACUCAACCCAGGAAAAACUGAGAGGGGGAUUAGGGACUCGGAGUUGAUUAACUCAAAAGAUUUGGGGUCGGUCGUCACAGCCUACCCCCCUUAAAAAGAAUCUCGUCCCGAGAUUUAGGUGUAAGAGGUAACUAGUGGGGGUGUGCAGUCCUUACCUCCUUGGCUGGAAAGAAAACCUUGGAAGUGCUUGUUCAGAUACUCUUCUGUCUCCCAUGUUGCUUCAUCCUCCGUGUGGUUUUUGCAGAGGAUCUUGUACAUUUUCACCACUUGGCGUUGGGUGCGCCUCUCCUUAUGGUCAAGAACUCUGGUCGGGUACUCGGUAUAGGUCAAGUCGGGCUCGAUUUGAAGUUGCUCUUGCUCUAAGAUCUCGGCUGGGACUUGGACACAUUUCUUCAGUUGAGAUACAUGGAAAACAUCGUGUAUGGCCGAGAGUUGCUCCGGGAGUUGGAUCCGAUAGGCAACUGGUCCACAAAUUUCCACAAUCUCAUAUGGGCCAAUGUAAC
rnacentral:lncRNA from 1 species